AAAGCCAGUAGUGUGGUCUCCUGCUGGAAGCCUCGCUGAGAAUCUAGUACGUCCAAAAACAGCAAAGCAAAGACUGACUCAGAAGAAAUAAUGAAAUAUGUCUCACGUUUAUAUCAUAUAUGGAUGGAAAAGUUAUGAGCCACCCACAGAAGAGAUGAAUUGCAUGAGAAACAGAUAAAAUAGAUUCCGUUCUCCAUGCCGAAAAAAAGUCUAGACAUCUUCAGUGCAACCGGAGUUUCCACAGCUGUGCUGGUGUCACAGAGCAGCACCAUCACAUCCCCAAGUGAAGUGGUGGAAGCUCCCAGGCACUCGCACACAGAUUCACCUGUGCAG
rnacentral:lncRNA from 1 species